rnacentral:rRNA from 1 species
UCGUUGCAAUCGAUCGGUUCAAUGCUAGAGGUCUUCUGGAGGCGAUCGUGGUCUCUGACUGCAGUCGCUGAAGUUGAUCAAUAGCAUUGAACUAGAGAAUGCAAAAGUCGUAA